UCCUACGGGAGGCAGCAGUGGGGAAUUUUGGACAAUGGGGGAAACCCUGAUCCAGCCAUCCCGCGUGAGUGAAGAAGGCCUUCGGGUUGUAAAGCUCUUUCGAAAGUGAAGAAAACUUAUUUCGUAAUAUGUUAUAAGUAUGACGGUAUCUUUAGAAGAAGCACCGGCUAACUACGUGCCAGCAGCCGCGGUAAUACGUAGGGUGCGAGCGUUAAUCGGAAUUACUGGGCGUAAAGCGUGCGCAGGCGGUUUUGUAAGUCAGAUGUAAAAUCCCCGAGCUUAACUUGGGAACUGCGUUUGAAACUACAAGACUAGAGUGUGUCAGAGGGGGGUAGAAUUCCACGUGUAGCAGUGAAAUGCGUAGAGAUGUGGAGGAAUACCAAUGGCGAAAGCAGCCCCCUGGGAUAACACUGACGCUCAUGCACGAAAGCGUGGGGAGCGAACAGGAUUAGAUACCCUGGUAGUCCACGCCCUAAACGAUGUCAACUAGUUGUUGGUGGAGUAAGAUCCAUGAGUAACGUAGCUAACGCGUGAAGUUGACCGCCUGGGGAGUACGGUCGCAAGAUUAAAACUCAAAUGAAUUGACGG
rnacentral:rRNA from 1 species